ACCGAAAUGAAAUUAAGCUAAAGCUAAUGCAUUACCGCGUUAGAUUAUCUCAUUUUUAUAGUGCACCUUCUCUCUCUUCUAUUAAAACUUCAAAGCGUUCUCUGACUUCUCCAUCGAAGCGGCUUCUGAUCUUCUCCUCCAUUGGAGCAAUUUCUAAGGAUGGCAGAGCAAGAGGCUCCAUUUUUCCCAAGGGAGAAGAUUCUUGAGAGGCAAAAGUAUUUCCAAAGUGUCCAGAAGCAUACAUAUCUAAAAGGACCCCUCGACAAGGUCACCUCUGUUGCCAUUCCUAUUGCUCUUGCGGCUACAUCAUUAUUCCUGAUUGGUAAAGGGAUCUAUAACAUGUCUCAUGGAAUUGGGAAGAAAGAAUGAUGAUGCAAUAUUGCUUAUUGGCUGCUAAUAGGAUUGGCUAUAACUUGAUAAUUUUGUUGAAAUAUGCUUUCAAAUUGUAGUUCUGAUAAUUAUGUUGAAAUAUGCUUUCAAAUUGUAGUUUUGUUUUCCUUUCAAAGUGCUUAUCAGGCCUUUUCAUUCUAGUGCAGCAUUUUGCUUGGUAUUGAAAAGCAAUGCUUUUGUGCUAUUUGUACAUUUGUUUCUGAUUUCGCCGAAAAUAUUUUGAAUAAUUGGUCCGAGUCAUUUCUAGUUUACUCCAA